GACCUCAUCCCAACAUAUGGCAUGCAAGU
rnacentral:piRNA from 1 species